rnacentral:lncRNA from 1 species
GGUAUGCUAUCGACCAUGACAAGAAAAAAAGCUCCUGAGUUGAGACAGGUAUAUGGACAUUCAGGGAUUAUAAGUACACCAGUCAUUUAAGGUCAGUUUUUGUGCAUAUAUAGCUCCAUGUUUGUAUUAAGCAUGCAUAAGUGCGAUACUUACUUCCUGAUCAUUUUGUGGUCAUCCAUGAUGUGAAGGUUAUAGCAGCAACAGUAGCAAGUGAUCCAACUAAGUAUUCUGAAGCAUUUCUAGGUAAACCAAAUGAAGAGUAUUGUUCUUGGAUUCUUGACUCUGAGAAGUGGGGAGGUUUGUUAAAAAUAAAUAAACUUUCCU